rnacentral:misc_RNA from 1 species
AAAGUCGUAACAAGGUCUCCGUUGGUGAACCAGCGGAGGGAUCAUUACCGAGUUUACAACUCCCAAACCCAAUGUGAACGUUACCAAACUGUUGCCUCGGCGGGAUCUCUGCCCCGGGUGCGUCGCAGCCCCGGACCAAGGCGCCCGCCGGAGGACCAACCAAAACUCUUGUUUAUACCCCCUCGCGGGUUUUUUACUAUCUGAGCCAUCUCGGCGCCCCUUGCGGGCGUUUCGAAAAUGAAUCAAAACUUUCAACAACGGAUCUCUUGGUUCUG